rnacentral:rRNA from 1 species
UACGUAGGUGGCAAGCGUUGUCCGGAAUUACUGGGUGUAAAGGGAGCGCAGGCGGGAAGCCAAGUCAGCUGUGAAAACUACGGGCUUAACUUGUAGACUGCAGUUGAAACUGGUUUUCUUGAGUGAAGUAGAGGUUGGCGGAAUUCCGAGUGUAGCGGUGAAAUGCGUAGAUAUUCGGAGGAACACCGGUGGCGAAGGCGGCCAACUGGGCUUUAACUGACGCUGAGGCUUGAAAGUGUGGGGAGCAAACAGG